rnacentral:rRNA from 1 species
CUCUAGAGGGUUCGGCCCUCGGCACACUGCUCUCUAACACGUGGACAAUCUGCCCUCGGGUGGGGGAUAACCUCGAGAAAUUGAGGAUAAUACCCCAUAGACCCCUUCUGCUGGAACGCUUUGGGGUCCAAAGCUGCGGCGCCCGAGGAUGAGUCUGCGGCUCAUCAGGUUGUAGUGAGUGUAACGGACUCACUAGCCGACAACGAGUACGGGCCUUGGAAGAGGUCGCCCGGAGAUGGACUCUGAGACACGAGUCCAGGCCCUACGGGGCGCAGCAGGCGCGAAAACUUCGCAAUGUGGGAAACCACGACGAGGGGAUUCCAAGUGCUCAUGGUUUUCCAUGGGCUGUUUUCCUGCCCAAACAGCAGGGAGAGUAAGGGCUGGGUAAGACGGGUGCCAGCCGCCGCGGUAAUACCCGCAGCUCGAGUGGUGAUCGUUCUUAUUGGGCCUAAAGCGUCCGUAGCCGGCUCAGUAAAUCCUUGGGUAAUCGGGCAGCUUANCUGUCCGACUUCCGGGGAAACUGCUGANCUUGGGACUGGGANAGGUCGGAAGUACUCCGGGGGUAAGGUGAAUUCUG